UACAGAGGGGGCGAGCGUUGUUCGGAAUUACUGGGCGUAAAGGGCGCGUAGGCGGCCAACUAAGUCAGACGUGAAAUCCCAUGGCUCAACCAUGGAACUGCGUCUGAUACUGGAUGGCUUGAAUCCGGGAGAGGGAUGUGGAAUUCCAGGUGUAGCGGUGAAAUGCGUAGAUAUCUGGAGGAACACCGGUGGCGAAGGCGGCAUCCUGGACCGGUAUUGACGCUGAGGCGCGAAAGCCAGGGGAGCAAACGGG
rnacentral:rRNA from 1 species